GUUAGGAAUAUUGGACAAUGGGCGCAAGCCUGAUCCAGCCAUGCCGCGUGAGUGAUGAAGGCCUUCGGGUUGUAAAGCUCUUUAGCCGAUGAUUAUAAUGACUGUAGUCGGAAAAUAAGCCCCGGCUAACUUCGUGCCAGCAGCCGCGGUAAUACGAAGGGGGCGAGCGUUAUUCGGAAUCACUGGGCGUAAAGCGUGCGUAGGCGGUUUUGUAAGUUGGGAGUGAAAGCCCAGGGCUCAACCCUGGAAUUGCUCUCAAAACUACAAGACUUGAAUUCGGGAGAGGAUAGCGGAAUUGUCAGUGUAGCAGUGAAAUGCGUAGAUAUUGACAGGAACACCAGUGGCGUAAGCGGCUAUCUGGACCGACAUUGACGCUGAGGCACGAAAGCGUGGGGAUCAAACAGGAUUAGAAACCCGGGUAGUCC
rnacentral:rRNA from 1 species